AUGCCACAUCCCUGCUCAACCUGCUGCACAGUGAUCGAGGGGAGAUGGGGCCCAGCGUGGCCUCCAGCUCCAAGCCAGAAACAUUACCGAGGUGGACAGCUCCUCCUAUGUUCAGAGAGUCUGUGGAUCCUUCUCCAAACUUUGAACAAGGCCGACAUGUGGACAAGAAGAACUUGUACUGGUACUGAGGAGAAAACUACCAGGGUCGCACCUAUCAUCCUAUCCUAUCCAGUCUAUUUGGACUUUUUUUAUGUGUAUUUUUCUUCUAUGUGUCUCUUUGGAAUAUCGAGAAGAGGAGUGUUUCCAUUCCUGCCUGAGUCUCCAUUCCUCAGAAUGACCUCAUUACCACAGAGAGCACCAACUAGAACAAAUGUGAAACGAGAGCAAUUGCUGACAAACAGGUUCUCCUUUUUUGUCAGAGUGCAUUUGUUUGUUGCUCUUUCUGGAGCUGAAGUUAGAUAAAGGUCAUUUUCUUCAUUGAUUUAACUAGAGUUAAUACUUUAGUGUUAAUUCUGAACAUUGUGUUUGAAUUUUAUAAUAACUAAUUAGAAAUCUGUGCAAAGUUUAGCUGAAUGAAUUUCACUGUCUGUGUUCAUGAAAAAUAGUUCAGCCCAGAGAAAGGUGAUUAAAAAAAACAUGCUUCUACUAAUAUAUGUGUAAGAAGGGGUGCCGGGAGAUAAUCAAGCAAUACUUUGUACUUUGUUACUGUCAAACAAGCUGAGAAUUUACAGUCAUGCAACAAAAAAAAGCCUACAAGUUAACCAAUAGGGCCACCUAAGGGUAGUUGUUUGAAAUAGCACUCUGUGUGAUGCAUGUAGCCUUUUUUGGAAUUCCAAAAUGUAGUUUAGCUUGUAUGUUUCGUGCUACAGACUUCAGCUAUAUCUGGAGUUAGUCCAUGUCUGCAUUUGCAGACCUAAAACAUUGACCUCCUCGUGAUUCUCUGUUUGGUGAAGACAUGGAUGGUUUCCAUAUACACUCCAGAAGGAAAAAACAUUUUGUACAUCAUCAACUGUGUUUGUCAGAAGUUUUGCUUCCAAAUGAACUUGUUUUAUAAAAAUAUUUUAAUGUAGAAUUUAGAAUAGUUAUGAAGCAAUGAAAGUGUUUUCAAUAAUUCUACUUAUUAACUUUGGAUCCACAAUGUGUACAUGUGUGAGAUGCUGCAAGUUUCUUUCCUGCUUUGACUUUCUUCAGCUUCAUCACAUCUGGUAUAUAAUACUUUGCUUUUUGACCCUAACCCAGACAAAAAGUACUUAAUAAGAGAUCAAGCCUUUUGUCAUUCAUCCUGUAACUUACCAGUUUUGUUCAUUUAAUAUGAAGGAAAAGUCAGUCAGAGGCUGCAGACAUGUUUGUUGAGUUUAUCGCUUUUGAGAGCUUAAGACAUUGAGUGUAAAACAUUGUUCCAAGACCUGUUUCAUUAAUAAAAUUGUGAUUUUAAAUCAACG
rnacentral:lncRNA from 1 species